CGAGGUGUAGCGUAGCCAGGCUAUCGCGCCUGCUUUGGGAGCAGGAGAGCGCCGGUUCGAAUCCGGCCACCUCGACCA
rnacentral:tRNA from 1 species